UCCGUUACACCAUUCUCAACUC
rnacentral:siRNA from 1 species